rnacentral:rRNA from 1 species
UGUGAUGGGGAGCGAAAUUUAGUAGCGAAGUAGCUGAUUUCACACUGUCAAGAAAAGUCUCUAUCGAGGUUAAAGGUACCCGUACCGCAAACCGACACCGGUGGGUGAGGAGAGUAUCCUAAGGCCAGCGAGAGAACUGUUGUUAAGGAACUCGGCAAAAUGACCCCGUAACUUAGGGAUAAGGGGUGCCACCAUCAGGUGGCCGCAGAGAAUAGGCCCAAGCGACUGUUUACCAAAAACAUAGGUUUCUGCUAAGUCGCAAGACGAUGUAUAGGAGCUGACGCCUGCCCGGUGCUGGAAGGUUAAGGGGAUCUGUUAGAGCAAUCGAAGCAGUGAACUUAAGCCCCAGUAAACGGCGGCCGUAACUAUAACGGUCCUAAGGUAGCGAAAUUCCUUGUCGGGUAAGUUCCGACCCGCACGAAAGGCGUAACGAUUUGGGCACUGUCUCAACAACAGACUCGGUGAAAUUGUAAUUCCGGUGAAGAUGCCGGAUACCUGCGACAGGACGGAAAGACCCCAUGGAGCUUUACUGUAGCUUGACAUUGGGUCUUGGUACUACAUGUACAGGAUAGGUGGGAGGCUUUGAAACCAGGACGCCAGUUUUGGCGGAGCCAUCCUUGGGAUACCACCCUUGUAGUACUGGGACUCUAACCAUAGGCCAUGAAUCUGGUCUUGGGACACUGUCAGGUGGGCAGUUUGACUGGGGCGGUCGCCUCCCAAAAGG